rnacentral:misc_RNA from 1 species
AAAGUGAUGCAGGGCCUUACAGA